rnacentral:rRNA from 1 species
AAUGAACGCUGGCGGCAGGCCUAACACAGGCAAGUCGAACGGAUCCUUCGGGGUUAGUGGCGGACGGGUGAGUAACGCGUGGGAACAUACCCUUUGGUACGGAAUAGCCUCGGGAAACUGGGAGUAAUACCGUAUGUGGUCGAGAGACGAAAGAUUUAUCGCCUUUGGAUUGGCCCGCGUUGGAUUAGGUAGUUGGUGGGGUAAUGGCCUACCAAGCCGACGAUCCAUAGCUGGUUUGAGAGGAUGAUCAGCCACACUGGGACUGAGACACGGCCCAGACUCCUACGGGAGGCAGCAGUGGGGAAUCUUAGACAAUGGGGGAAACCCUGAUCUAGCCAUGCCGCGUGAUCGAUGAAGGCCUUAGGGUUGUAAAGAUCUUUCAGGUGGGAAGAUAAUGACUGUACCACCAGAAGAAGCCCCGGCUAACUCCGUGCCAGCAGCCGCCGUAA